GUGGGGAAUCUUAGACAAUGGGGGAAACCCUGAUCUAGCCAUGCCGCGUGAGCGAUGAAGGCCUUAGGGUUGUAAAGCUCUUUCAGCUGGGAAGAUAAUGACGGUACCAGCAGAAGAAGCCCCGGCUAACUCCGUGCCAGCAGCCGCGGUAAUACGGAGGGGGCUAGCGUUGUUCGGAAUUACUGGGCGUAAAGCGCGCGUAGGCGGACCAGAAAGUUGGAGGUGAAAUCCCAGGGCUCAACCUUGGAACUGCCUUCAAAACUCCUGGUCUGGAGUUCGAGAGAGGUGAGUGGAAUUCCGAGUGUAGAGGUGAAAUUCGUAGAUAUUCGGAGGAACACCAGUGGCGAAGGCGGCUCACUGGCUCGAUACUGACGCUGAGGUGCGAAAGCGUGGGGAGCAAACAGGAUUAGAAACCCCAGUAGUCC
rnacentral:rRNA from 1 species